rnacentral:lncRNA from 1 species
AUUUCAUAUUAACCUGCUCAUAACCUUCAUACACACUUCACCAUAUCCAGAACAUCCCAUAUAUGUCUUAAUGCCAUACCUGGGUAUGAAUCAAAAUAUGGGUUCAUAUGCAUAAGAUUUCAUGAUGAUCUCAGGUCUAAGGAUCACUUGCAUAACUCCCAUUUAGAGAACCAUCUUUGACAUGCAAGUAAGACUUUCAUAAAAUAUUCUCUUUCAUCGAGUCAAUUCAGUGGACUCAUUUUCAAAUGAGCACCCAUAUCUUUAUAUUAGUGUCCCACAUAAGUGGCUAGUG